AUGGAGGUGAUUGAAGUGAUUGGAGCAGACUGUAUAGCAGAUUACAGCAGAUUUUUAACUGUUAUGGUUGUUGUUGUUUUUUACUUUUUCACAACACUUUUUGGGACUGUUUUGCUGCUGAAACAGGGCUGGAAAAUGGGUUUUUAUUUGUUGAAACAAAGCUGGAAAGUAUGGGCAGCAUUGCAGCAUGGUAUUGGAUUGAAAUUGGAGCAAGUUUAA